UACGGGAGGCAGCAGUGGGGAAUAUUGCACAAUGGGCGCAAGCCUGAUGCAGCCAUGCCGCGUGUAUGAAGAAGGCCUUCGGGUUGUAAAGUACUUUCAGUCGUGAGGAAGGUGUUAAGGUUAAUAACCUUAGCAAUUGACGUUAGCGACAGAAGAAGCACCGGCUAACUCCGUGCCAGCAGCCGCGGUAAUACGGAGGGUGCGAGCGUUAAUCGGAAUUACUGGGCGUAAAGGGCACGCAGGCGGUUAAUUAAGUUGGAUGUGAAAUCCCCGGGCUUAACCUGGGAAUGGCAUUCAAGCUGGUUAGCUAGAGUCUUGUAGAGGGGGUAGAAUUCCAUGUGUAGCGGUGAAAUGCGUAGAGAUGUGGAGGAAUACCGGUGGCGAAGGCGGCCCCUGGGACAAAGACUGACGCUCAUGUGCGAAAGCGUGGGGAGCGAAACAGGGAUUAGAUA
rnacentral:rRNA from 1 species